rnacentral:rRNA from 1 species
ACGAACGCUGGCGGCGUGCUUAACACCUGCAAGUCGAACGGUGAAGCGCCUUCCUUUUUGGUGGGUGUGGAUGAGUGGCGAACGGGUGAGUAACACGUGAGUAACCUGCCCCCUUCUUCUGGAUAACCGCAUGAAAGUGUGGCUAAUACGGGAUAUUCUGGGUCUGUCGCAUGAUGGGUCUGGGAAAGAUAUUGUUUCGGUGGGGGAUGGGCUCGCGGCCUAUCAGCUUGUUGGUGGGGUGAUGGCCUACCAAGGCGGUGACGGGUAGCCGGCCUGAGAGGGUGGACGGUCACACUGGGACUGAGACACGGCCCAGACUCCUACGGGAGGCAGCAGUGGGGAAUAUUGCACAAUGGGCGCAAGCCUGAUGCAGCGACGCCGCGGGAGGGAUGGAGGCCUGCGGGUUGUGAACCUCUUUCGCCAGUGAAGCAGGCCUGCCUCGUUUGUGGGUGGGUUGACGGUAGCUGGAUAAGAAGCGCCGGCUAACUACGUG